GACAGAGGUGCCGAGCGUUAGGCGGAAUCACUGGGCUUAAAGCGUGUGUAGGCGGAUCUGUAAGUACCUUGUGAAAUCCCACGGCUCAACCGUGGAACUGCUUGGUAUACUGCGGGUCUUGAGCCACCUAGGGGCAAGUGGAACAAACGGUGGAGCGGUGAAAUGCGUAGAUAUCGGGAGGAACACCAGCGGCGAAGGCGAUCAUCUGGGGUUGUUCUGACACUGAGGAGCGAAAGCUAGGGGAGCAAACGGG
rnacentral:rRNA from 1 species